AUUGAACGCUGGCGGCAUGCUUUACACAUGCAAGUCGAACGGCAGCACGGGUGCUUGCACCUGGUGGCGAGUGGCGAACGGGUGAGUAAUGCACCGGAACGUAUCCAAUAAUGGGGGAUAACGCAGCGAAAGCUGUGCUAAUACCGCAUACGCCCUGAGGGGGAAAGCGGGGGAUCGCAAGACCUCGCGUUAAUGGAGCGGCCGAUGCCGGAUUAGCUAGUUGGUGGGGUAAAGGCUCACCAAGGCGACGAUCCGUAGCUGGUCUGAGAGGACGACCAGCCACACGGGGACUGAGACACGGCCCAGACUCCGACGGGGGGCAGCAGUGGGGAAUUUUGGGCAAUGGGCGCAAGCCUGAUCCAGCCAUGCCGCGUGAGUGAAGAAGGCCUUCGGGUUGUAAAGCCCUAUCGCAAGGAAAGAAAACUUAUCCGCUAAUACCGGGUGAGGAUGACGGUACCUUGAUAAGAAGCACCGGCUAACUACGUGCCAGCCGCCGCCGUAAGAC
rnacentral:rRNA from 1 species